UAGAGAGAGAGAGCGAGGAAGCGCGCGGCAGGUUCUGCGCGCGCGCGGCAUUGUGAUUGGCCGCUCGGCUGCCUGCUGCUGGAGUGACGUCACUGCAGGAGAGAAGUGACAGAGGAGGAUGCAUUUAGUGAGAAACUAGACACUUCCAGGCUGGAGAGAGAGAGCAUCACAUCCACAGAGCUCAGGCGGAACGAGAGCAUCGCAUGCGGGUUACAUUCGCGCACGCUUUAAUAAAACAACCGCGCAUGUCCUCCCGUAUCCGUGCGUUAACACUGUCAUCAAGCUUUUCAAGAGAGGACUUCCCCAUCUUGGAAAUAAACCUGCCUGUUCCGUUCUGUGGAUCGUCUGGGUGACGUUCGAGGGUUGAAUACUUGAGGACUGCGACUUUUUCAACGGGAAAACGCAUCGUCGGAGAGAUGGCACAGACGAGUGUGGUUUUAACAAAAGAGAGAUUUUUUGCGUCGUGCUCUUUAACGCAAGACGCACGGGAACCUCUAUUUGUCCCCAACACACUGGCACUCGUACCUUACUUUCAGACAGAGAGGAAUAUGCGCGUCGUUUUGAAAACGUCAACUUUACAAGAUGUUCCGAGUCUACAAAGUGUUACAGGAGGUGGUUGCUAUCUUUGGUUAUCUAGCUGUAUGAGUGUCUAUCUUCCUUCAUAAAGCUAGAUAACCGAAAGUAGAAACGUCCUCUUUCACUGCACAGCACACAAGUUCAUUGGGAAAACUGCACGUGAGAGUUCAAAGCAUGAGGCACUCAAAGCAAUGUGUUUUCGUGAAAGACCAGAGGACUAAAGCUUAAAACUACACCAUCCGCAACUGCCAGCCAUUUACACACUGCCUUUUUGGAGUAAGAGGGUGAGAGGAAAAAAUGGUGCAAUUGUCCAAAUGAAAGAAAAGGGGAAAAAAGAAAAAUAAUAGUCAACCCUCAUCCUUCUACCAGCUCCCCUCCCUUCCCGUCGUCAACGGAAGCAUUUAGUGCCAUCUGUGCCCCGGAGAAAAGCAAAAAGAAAGGAGUGAGACUCUACAUCCCAAGUGCCAACGGGGACAAAGAGGCUGCCAGUUGCCAUGGACCACCAGAUGCUGGGAGACUGCAACACUGAAUGAGGGGUGUGCUUGCAGGAAGCCAUCUUGAUGGAGAAACUGGCUGCUGCUCCCUAAAAUGGCUGUGUUGGCAUGAGGCUCCUGGCAAUGAUCAAAAAGGCGGAAAAAAUCACUGUCAACAGCUGCUGAAAAAACUGAGGCCGUGCAGCUAUUUUUAACAGGGACGGUCAAUCACAGCACCUCAGGAAUCCAGCAUCCUGCAUUUAAUUAACGGAAACCUUUCAUCCUUCAGAUUUCUGACUGAUAUGUGUGAAUGUAAAGAGGACAUGCUGUUUACCCAGUUAAAUUGUAGAUAUUAAAACAAAGUGUUGUCAAGUGAAGAGAAUAAUGUGCAUUAAUGUGUGAAAUGUUUACAAAGUUGACAUUGUUAAAUGUCUCUGCUGUCAAUGUCUGUGUUGGCUAUAUCAAGAAACUGUAUUCUCCUUCAUGUUGGAGAUCGAUUCAAAUGUGUCUGUUUUCUUUAGACGGAUAUUUAAGCAGCGCACUCAAUCAGGUAAAUUUAAAAGUUUAUUUUUAUGUUUAAUAUUGGAAUUAUGAACUUCUGUGCUCUGUCAUAACGAUUCAUUUUCUUGAAAUAAAGCCUUAAAUUAAAAACAAAACUUUGGUUAUUGA